rnacentral:lncRNA from 1 species
AUCACAUACAUGAAAAGUUCUGGGCACAAAUGCUAAUUUUAUCCUCAGAAUGUUUUAGAGAAUUUUCAUUAUUACAUUUACGCUGAUAGGAGAAUAGUCUGGAGGGAGAAUAUAUGGUUUAGCAAAAAAAAAAUUGAUAACAAAGAAAUCAUGGGAAUGAAUUUGGAGUUUGCACCAAUGCCAAAUUGUGAGAUCACAUGAGAACUGUGCUAAAUAACUUGGUCACCUGUUUGAAACAAAAAUGCAUACUUGCACCAAACAGUGUCUGUGUGUGUGUGGUACACUGUCAGUGUCAUGUAACUCGCAGGUAUGUUUGUCAUAGACACUAGCUCUAAUUGAUGCUCUUACUGGCCCAUGAAAUUACUGUAGGUAGAAACUGUGUUUGUAGAAAACAAUCUGAUACAAUUGGUGCAUAUCUCUGACAACAUUCUAAAAACUGUACUUGAGCUAAAAGUAGCUAACUUUGGGUGUAUUUAGGAGUGUGAAUACCAUAGAUUAAUGACUUAAUGAGAAAGAUGGAACCUUGCUGAACUGACAUCACCGCUGAAAGUGAUUAGUAACCUAGAUUAGUGGUUCUUACACUAUUCCAACUGUGGCCAAAAACAAUUCAAGAAAAAGAGCUUACUCUCUUAUUGGAUAUUGAUAGAAUCUGGAUGAGUACCAGUCCUUGUUGAUUGACUGGAGAACCAGUGACCUUGAGCAUGACUUGAUCUAAAUGUUCUUCUUUAAAUUAAUUAGUUGAUAAAUUGGGUCAUAAAUUGGUUCUUUUGUUCAAAGCAGUUGACUAUAAAUAACACAAACAUAGCUUUACUGUAAUACUGGAUUUAGUAGAUGAAUAGGGCUACAUAAGAUUGUAGUUCCAGAGCAUGAGUAGAUAUGAUUAAUAUACUGAAGUCAGCUGAUUAUCCAGACACAUACAUAUAUGGUUGUUUGGGUAGAAUCAAUGACUAGCAUAGAACAGGAUCCGAGUUAUUGCAGUACUGGAGUAGAUAAUAACGCAGAACAUGACAAGUUCAAAUACAAGCUAAGGAAUGUUCUGUCGGCUAUUGAUGCCUAACCUUGGCAGCCUUCAUUGGCCAUUAUGGAAAAUGUACAUCACAAUUCUGGACUAUCAAGUUCAGCCAUCACUGAUUAUGGUGUACUUCAGUAUGUUUAGACUAGGCUUGACCGAGAAUAUUAGAUAAGACUGUGAUAGCCAGCAAAAUAAAUCAGGUACAUUGCUUUCCUUAACAAACAGUUGGUGAAUGAUCUAGAACAGGGGUAGGCAAGCUUUUCGCACUCCAGAUAAUCUCCCCCGAUACUUUGCCAGCAUUAUAGCUGUAAGAGCAUUAUGAGAGAUGUAGUCCACAACAUCUGGAGUGCCGAUGCUACCCCCGAUCUAGAACAUCAAACGCUCAGUUUUUGUUAACACCUGACGAUCUAGAACAUGUGGUGAAAACAUAAAUAUCCCGAUAUGAUUGCUGGAUAUUUUAGCAUUGAAAAAUCUCGAUCAUUAGAACAGGCACAUUACUUGAAUUGGUCAUAAAUGGAGUUAUGUUCAAAAGUGCGUUAUUGCUAAACUUGCCUCGCUACAAAAAAACUCCUGGUGACAUGAAUGUACUUUUGAGCACAACCCACACAGUGCCUUAAAUCGUAGCAUAGGUUUGUAAAUUAAGGGGUGUCCUCAUUAUUUUCAAUGUGUCCUUAUUCACUCCGUCUCAGAUAUAUCAGAAGUCACCUAGUUUUCUAAAGCAAGGGAUUUUAUUUUUUAUUCCUUUAUUUGUUUUGUUUUUUAUUAUUAUUUAUUUAUUUAUUUAUUUUAAAGGGUGGGUUUCGCAGCCAGGGACUACUAGGGCUAUUUUUAGCAGUUGUUGAGGUCUUCAUCUAUUAUAAUCUCACUGAAAGAGCCAAUUAUUGCGGAGUCUGUUGCUAUGACGAGCGUUGCCCCGCUCCGUCGUUGUAUGCCAUUGUGUCAUUGCUGUAUUCUCUCUACAUUAGUGUGCAAAGCAGAGAAGGACCCCACUCAUAACAUCAUUAUUCCAGUUUAAAAAUAGACAAGGAUUAUAUAUAAAAAUAUACACACACACAAACACCUAACAUAUAUGUGAGUGUAUUUAUUACACGUAUAUAUUUUAUAUUACAGUUACAACUAUUAUUUCAUUUUCUUUGUUUAGAUAAGGUCAUAAUAGCAAUGUUGUAAAAAAAGAUAUCACACGUGAGUUGAAUAUUUCUCUUUUUUCCACAUUGACAAGUCACCCCUACAACUCACUGUUUAGAAAAUAAUCCACUAAAUGCCCCAUAACAAGUCACCCACGCAACUGGCAGAACUGGUGGUGCUCUACGUAACCCUGUCAUGCCAAUCUGCUUUACAUGAUUCUCAGGAUAAUAUGAAAACAGCCAACUUUUACUGCAAGCACCCAUCAAUGGGCGCCCUUAAAUAAACCACCAUCUUUAAUGCACCUUUCACUUUGUUGGCAUUAUUAUUGCACACAUCAGAAAAGAAAGAAAACUCCAGUAUCAAAUUAAUGUUCAAUGAUAUAUAUAUAAAGUUAAAAUUAAAAUUUUUGUAACCAGCGAU